GACAGGGGGUAUCCAGAUGCUUCUUAACAGCUGCUCUAGUCUUCCUCCCCUUCCUGUGUCCUUUUCUGGACAAACAGGUGUGUGUCCCUGCGUGUGUCUUUGUCUGGGUGAGGGAAGGCAGGGAGUUGUAUGCCACGCCCGGCCCUCUGCUGCAAGGAGCCUCCAACCCAAAUCUGAGAUCCCAGAAGGUUGAAAGGGUGGUCACCCAGGACUACAGACCUGGAGGCAGGGCUGAUGGGCAGGUUGGGUGGGGAGCCUUGGGGACCCCAGAGGUCGAGAACACCUCUGUCCCCUUGGUUCUUCUAAUUGGUUGGCUCCACAGACAGGCAGGUGCUGAACCUAGGUAUUGUGCUGCUUAAAAAUGAGGUGAUAAUUCCAAAAAAGGGGAGAGCCAGAGUGAGCUGGAGGCAAAGCCUUUUCCUUCUCCCCACACUGCCCGGACCCCAGGCUACAAGGCGGGGAGCCCUGGGAACUACCUCCAAGUCCCAGGUCUCUGCCACCCAUCUAAGAAACUUUGCUCUCAACGAUAGAUGAUUAUAAUGUACUUGACUAAUGCUUGCAUUUUCCUGUUUAACAUACAUUAAUCCAAGUAACAAAAAAAAAAAUCAAUAUUGCUAACAACAUUGCAAACAAAUCCUAGUGUCUCUCACACAAAAACCUCCUCCGAUUUUCAGUCACUCCUAUCUCCUUGAAUGUUAUUCUCCUCUAGCCCACUGUAAUCCUAGCUAGUCAGGAAUCUGAUCUUGGCUUUAAAUAGCCCUUCUCCAAAAAUCCCUAAUUUUUUAAGCCAUGGGGAGAACCCAGGACCCUCCAAAUCCUAGAUCCCUGUCUCCUGGGGCUAUUUAAGGACCCCCGAGUAACCUUAAAUGCAUCCUUGCAGCACCAGUGGAUGCCCCAAGUCACUGGCCAAUGACUAUAGUUUUUGGUGUUUUCUGUCUAUAACAAAACCUCAAUCAAGGCAGCUGCCAGCAGCUGUCUAGGGCUGGGGACCUACAGGGACCCCCACACUCGCUCUCCCACCAUCCUGCCCCCCUACUCAAGCCAUCAGAAACAAAACUCAGCUGGCAGUUCAUGUCAGAAGUUGAUGAUUCUUAUUAUGAUUAGUUUUUUUUUAAAAAUGGUAUUUUCCACCUGGAAGGAAUAAACCAGAGGGGCUGGCUAAUGAAGGAACUUAGGUUUGCAAAACACUGUAAAUAAUUUAGUAUUGUAUUUCAAGGAAAAAAAAUAGCUUUCUUAAAUCAUCCCCGCAAUAUAAAUUGCAGACUUACAGUAUGGUCCUGGUAAGUCUAAAUUUUUAAAGGAGCAAUAUUCAAAGAGACAUAGAUGUCUGUAUUAAUUAUUUAUUCGCCGGUGCCUUCCUUCGUUUCUAACUUAUUAUUAAUUAGGCGCCUCUAGUCUUUCGCAGAGCAUUCCACUGAGCCGGUUGCAGCUUUAAAUAUGAAUUAAAAGCAAAUCCAAGCUACUGUAAUGCGAAAAUUAUUCCGUGUCUUGCAUGGCAGAGAUGAAUAGCUGCGUGGAUCAAUACCGUGAAACUCGGCUCCCAACGACAGGGUUAUUGAUAGCUUAUAUUAAUGAUGUUAAUGAUGGAAAAAGGAAAACAACGGCCCACCGACUUAGAAACUUUUUAGCCACUGAAACCCCGCAAUAAAAACGGGAAGGGGGCAGGAAUUGGACUUAAGUGUAAUAAGAAAAUUAUUUAUGAAACCGGAUAAAUGACUUCAGAGCCUUGAUGCAUUUGAACCCAACGCUCUCGGCUCCUGGCGGCCCCGGCUCCAGCUGGGGAGACCGCGAAAACCCCAAGCCUCGGAGAGCUAGGGGACUGGGGGCCUCCACCCGCCGCAGCCGCCUCCGGUUUGCCGCCCCCUCUCUCCCAGUCCCCGGCGGGGGAGCCCUCUGGGACGCCGGUCGGAGAAGCUUUUGGACUUGGGUGGAAUGGAGCGGGCUUGGGGUUGGUCCUUGCUGUCCUGGCGGGGGCCGGGAGUCAGGUCAGUGGGGCCCAGCGGUCUGGGACUUUGCCCGAUUUCAUCACUGGUUCCUUUUGGCACCCGCAGGUGGUCAGGAGUCAACAGCUUUGGCUCUGUGCGGGGCGCAGGUGCGGAUCUGCACUGUUGCCUGCCGCCCGUGGAUCCCCGAAAUGCACCUUGUUGGCUGGUGCCUGAGCAGGAGAGGGGACGCUUUACUGGAAGCGAGGGUGUUCCAAACAGGGGCGGGAAACUGUGGAGGCACGUUCUCUCCUCCCCGGCGCCUCCCCAAAUCCAAUGCCCGGCCAGGCGGCUUAACAGGGCCCAGGCAGCGCGGGAUCCUCUGGGCUCCGGGUUCUGGAGCGUGGGGUCUGGGCCGCGCCGCCUGCCCUAUCAGCCGCAAAUAUCCACCCUUUCUCCUUAGCAGAGGGCCACCGAGAGCCGGGAGGGCCCAGAGCGGGGAAGGGAAAGGUUAAAGCCUGAUCCUGGCGGACAGCAGGAAAGGUCAGAGCCUCAGGGUCAAUAGCAAGCCCAGGUCCCAUCCCCCGCUCUGCUGGGCGUAGAGCCACCGGGCCCCUUCCCCCAGCCAGGGUCUACGGCGCCAGGAGGCGGAGGCCCUGGCAGCCCGGGGUGGGGGCAGUGCCGCGGAUGCUAGGGAGGUGCGUGGCGGUUCCCGCCUGGCAGCGCGCCCCGGGUUUAGGUUUUUGGAGCUGUGGAGGAGGCCGGGGGCAUUUAUUCAGUGCGUAGAGGGAGAAGAGAAGAUGGGCAGCGGCAGAAGAAGGCGGGUGGUGCACAAGGGCAACCAGUUUCCCUCGGAGGAACCGGCCCCUUCAUCUCCAAGCCCCUUCCCUCCCCUCCUUCUCUUUCUCCGUGUCCCUUCCUCCCUCCCUCCUUUUCCUCAUUCCUUUUCUCCGCCUCUUAUUUUUCUCUUCUGCUUUCUUCCUUCCUUCCCCACCCCUCUUCCCUAGAUGGAGGCCCGGGGGAGUCUGUGAACCUACAGCUUUUUAUAUGAAAGACGCCAAGUGUAUCUGGCACCGACGGAAAUGAGCCCUGUUUCUGAAAAAGCGGAGGGGCAGGUGUGCGGCAGGAUGCAAAGGGAUCGCCUGCGCUUGGGAGAGGCCUUGGCGCUGUAACUGGCCAUAACUGACGCCUCCCAGAACACCAAGGGUGGCCCAGUGGAGACCAUUAUCAAGAUAAUUAGACAAAACCCGAACUUCCUGCCACCCAGGAAGAAUCCCUUCUCUGCUGUCAGACUUCAAAGUCCACCAUCAACUGCGUGUUCCAGAUAAGCCCUGGCUCGCGGAGACCCAGCCUCAUCGCCACGCAAUCUGCCCUGCCUCGGAAACACAACAGACACUGCAGAAAAUCACUUGAUUCUGGAACAAAAAUCAAUAUAGGAAUUAGAUUUAUUGUCUGCUUAUGUGAUUAAAAAUGACAAAGUGUUGGAUUUUAUUUUCAUAAAAAAGACAGAAGGCUGAACAAAAUAAUUUACGAUCUCGA